UUAAUUUGAGAGUUUGAUCCUGGCUCAGGACGAACGCUGGCGGCGUGCCUAAUACAUGCAAGUCGAACGAACUCUGGUAUUGAUUGGUGCUUGCAUCAUGAUUUACAUUUGAGUGAGUGGCGAACUGGUGAGUAACACGUGGGAAACCUGCCCAGAAGCGGGGGAUAACACCUGGAAACAGAUGCUAAUACCGCAUAACAACUUGGACCGCAUGGUCCGAGUUUGAAAGAUGGCUUCGGCUAUCACUUUUGGAUGGUCCCGCGGCGUAUUAGCUAGAUGGUGGGGUAACGGCUCACCAUGGCAAUGAUACGUAGCCGACCUGAGAGGGUAAUCGGCCACAUUGGGACUGAGACACGGCCCAAACUCCUACGGGAGGCAGCAGUAGGGAAUCUUCCACAAUGGACGAAAGUCUGAUGGAGCAACGCCGCGUGAGUGAAGAAGGGUUUCGGCUCGUAAAACUCUGUUGUUAAAGAAGAACAUAUCUGAGAGUAACUGUUCAGGUAUUGACGGUAUUUAACCAGAAAGCCACGGCUAACUACGUGCCAGCAGCCGCGGUAAUACGUAGGUGGCAAGCGUUGUCCGGAUUUAUUGGGCGUAAAGCGAGCGCAGGCGGUUUUUUAAGUCUGAUGUGAAAGCCUUCGGCUCAACCGAAGAAGUGCAUCGGAAACUGGGAAACUUGAGUGCAGAAGAGGACAGUGGAACUCCAUGUGUAGCGGUGAAAUGCGUAGAUAUAUGGAAGAACACCAGUGGCGAAGGCGGCUGUCUGGUCUGUAACUGACGCUGAGGCUCGAAAGUAUGGGUAGCAAACAGGAUUAGAUACCCUGGUAGUCCAUACCGUAAACGAUGAAUGCUAAGUGUUGGAGGGUUUCCGCCCUUCAGUGCUGCAGCUAACGCAUUAAGCAUUCCGCCUGGGGAGUACGGCCGCAAGGCUGAAACUCAAAGGAAUUGACGGGGGCCCGCACAAGCGGUGGAGCAUGUGGUUUAAUUCGAAGCUACGCGAAGAACCUUACCAGGUCUUGACAUACUAUGCAAAUCUAAGAGAUUAGACGUUCCCUUCGGGGACAUGGAUACAGGUGGUGCAUGGUUGUCGUCAGCUCGUGUCGUGAGAUGUUGGGUUAAGUCCCGCAACGAGCGCAACCCUUAUUAUCAGUUGCCAGCAUUAAGUUGGGCACUCUGGUGAGACUGCCGGUGACAAACCGGAGGAAGGUGGGGAUGACGUCAAAUCAUCAUGCCCCUUAUGACCUGGGCUACACACGUGCUACAAUGGAUGGUACAACGAGUUGCGAACUCGCGAGAGUAAGCUAAUCUCUUAAAGCCAUUCUCAGUUCGGAUUGUAGGCUGCAACUCGCCUACAUGAAGUCGGAAUCGCUAGUAAUCGCGGAUCAGCAUGCCGCGGUGAAUACGUUCCCGGGCCUUGUACACACCGCCCGUCACACCAUGAGAGUUUGUAACACCCAAAGUCGGUGGGGUAACCUUUUAGGAACCAGCCGCCUAAGGUGGGACAGAUGAUUAGGGUGAAGUCGUAACAAGGUAGCCGUAGGAGA
rnacentral:rRNA from 1 species